rnacentral:rRNA from 1 species
UACGGGGGGAGCAAGCGUUGUUCGGAUUUACUGGGCGUAAAGGGCGCGUAGGCGGUCGUGACAAGUCACUUGUGAAAUCUCCGGGCUUAACUCGGAACGGUCAAGUGAUACUGUCGGACUAGAGUACAGAAGGGGCAACUGGAAUUCUCGGUGUAGCGGUGAAAUGCGUAGAUAUCGAGAGGAACACCUGCGGCGAAGGCGGGUUGCUGGGCUGAUACUGACGCUGAGGCGCGAAAGCUAGGGGGAGCGAACGGGG